AGUGAUUGCAACCUUCCAAAGGCCCCAGAAUAGAAGGGCUCACCAGCUAUAGGAACCUUCAAAUGUAGUCUAACUUCUGGAGACCCAGUUCUGGCAGUUCUUAUCAUAAAGGAGACAGGAAGUACUACAUCCUUAAGCCUAUUGGAACUGCCAGCUGAAGGUGACCAGGUGAAAUAGAUAUCCUGAGCACACCUAUUUGAUUCCAAGCUUUCAGCAUUACAGUGCAGCCUUUCUAGGCAUAGAUUAGGAGAGUGGGAACCUGUGAAUGGAAAUGUUUGG